rnacentral:misc_RNA from 1 species
GUCUGACUGACUUGCAGCGGCUACAGGCCCGAGUGGAAGAGCUGGAGCGCUGGGUGUACGGGCCGGGCGGGGCGCGCGGCUCACGGAAGGUGGCUGACGGCCUGGUCAAGGUGCAGGUGGCUUUGGGGAACAUUUCCAGCAAGAGGGAGAGGGUGAAGAUUCUCUACAAAAAGAUUGAAGAUCUGAUCAAGUACCUGGAUCCUGAGUACAUCGACCGCAUUGCCAUACCUGAUGCCUCUAAGCUGCAAUUCAUCCUAGCAGAGGAGCAGUUUAUCCUUUCCCAGGUUGCACUCCUGGAGCAGGUGAAUGCCUUGGUGCCCAUGCUGGACAGUGCUCACAUCAAAGCCGUUCCUGAGCAUGCUGCCCGCCUGCAGCGCUUGGCCCAGAUCCACAUUCAGCAGCAGGACCAGUGUGUGGAAAUCACUGA